GACGAACGCUGGCGGUGUGCUUAACACAUGCAAGUGGUGCGACGAACCAGGGCUUGCCCUGGGGCAAAGCCGCGAACGGGUGAGUAACACGUGGGUAACCUGCCCCGAUGACUGGGACAACCCGGGGAAACCCGGGCUAAUACCGGAUGAUGUACACGGACUUAAGUCCGUUUACUAAAGGUAGCUUCGGCUUCCGCAUUGGGAUGGGCCCGCGGCCCAUUAGCCUGUUGGUGGGGUAACGGCCUACCAAAGCAACGAUGGGUAGCUGGUCUGAGAGGACGAUCAGCCACACUGGGACUGAGACACGGCCCAGACUCCUACGGGAGGCAGCAGUGGGGAAUCUUGCGCAAUGCGCGAAAGCGUGACGCAGCAACACCGCGUGAGGGAAGACGGCCUUAGGGUUGUAAACCUCUUUCAGUUGGGACGAAGGUUCGACGGUGAAUAGCCGGCCGGACUGACGGUACCUUCAGAAGAAGCUCCGGCUAACUACGUGCCAGCAGCCGCGGUAAUACGUAGGGAGCGAGCGUUGUCCGGAAUCAUUGGGCGUAAAGAGCGCGUAGGUGGAUUGGUCAGUCUGCUGUGAAAGUCAAAGGCUCAACCUUUGAAAGCCGGUGGAUACUGCCAAUCUAGAGUACGGAAGAGGCGAGUGGAAUUCCUGGUGUAGCGGUGGAAUGCGCAGAUAUCAGGAGGAACACCAAUAGCGAAGGCGGCUUGCUGGGCCGAUGCUGACGCUGAGGCGCGAAAGCGUGGGGAGCAAACAGGAUUAGAUACCCUGGUAGUCCACGCCGUAAACGAUGGGCACUAGGUGUGGGGAGUAUCGACCCUCUCCGUGCCGCAGCUAACGCAUUAAGUGCCCCGCCUGGGGAGUACGGCCGCAAGGCUGAAACUCAAAGGAAUUGACGGGGGCCCGCACAAGCGGUGGAGCAUGUGGUUUAAUUCGAUGCAACGCGAAGAACCUUACCGGGGUUUGACAUCCCCUGACAGCUCUGGAAACAGGGUUUUCCGCUCGGGGCAAGGGUGACAGGUGGUGCAUGGUUGUCGUCAGCUCGGGUCGUGAGAUGUUGGGUUAAGGCCCGCAACGAGCGCAACCCCUAUCCUUAGUUGCCUAGCAGUUCGGCUGAGCACUCUAAGGAGACUGCCGGCGUCAAGCCGGAGGAAGGUGGGGAUGACGUCAAGUCCUCAUGGCCCUUAUGUCCGGGGCUACACACGUGCUACAAUGGUCGGUACAAAGUGUUGCGAACCCGCGAGGGGGAGCUAAUCGCAAAAAGCCGGCCUCAGUACGGAUUGCAGUCUGCAACUCGACUGCAUGAAGUCGGAAUCGCUAGUAAUCGCUGAUCAGCAGGCAGCGGUGAAUACGUUCCCGGGCCUUGUACACACCGCCCGUCACACCACGAAAGCUGGCAACACCCGAAGUCGGUGAGCUAACUCGUAAGAGGGGCAGCCGCCGAAGGUGGGGUUGGUGAUUGGGGUG
rnacentral:rRNA from 1 species